AGCAGUAGCCGCGGUAAUGCGAAGGGUGCAAGCGUUAAUCGGAAUUACUGGGCGUAAAGGGUGCGUAGGCGGUUGUUUAAGUCUGUUGUGAAAUCCCCGGGCUCAACCUGGGAAUGGCAGUGGAUACUGGCAAGCUAGAGUGUGUCAGAGGAUGGUGGAAUUCCCGGUGUAGCGGUGAAAUGCGUAGAGAUCGGGAGGAACAUCAGUGGCGAAGGCGGCCAUCCGGGACAACACUGACGCUGAGGCACGAAAGCGUGGGGAGCAAACAGGAUUAGAUACCCGCGUAGUCCCUGUCUCUUAUAC
rnacentral:rRNA from 1 species